rnacentral:rRNA from 1 species
AGACCUUUAGUUUGAACCCCGAAACCAGGUGAGCUACCCCGAGACAGCCUAUAUUGAUUUAGGGCUAACCCGUCUCUGUGGCAAAAGAGUGGGAAGAGCUCCGGGUAGAAGUGACAGACCUACCGAACCUGGUGAUAGCUGGUUGCCUGAGAAGUGGAUAGAAGUUCAGCCUCGCACACCCCAAGCCAGAGAACACACCGCUAAGGCACUCAGGGAAAUGUGGGAGAGUUAGUUAAAGGGGGUACAGCCCCUUUAACAAAGGAUACAACCUUUGCAGGAGGAUAAAGAUCAUAAUAUAUAAAACAUGCUGCUCUAGUGGGCCUAAAGGCAGCCACCUAAACAGAAAGCGUUAAAGCUCAGGCAGAAAGAAGUUUAUUAUACCGAUAAAAAAUCUUACUCCCCUAAUUAUAUCAGGCCAACCCAUGCCAACAUGGAAGAGAUUAUGCUAAAAUGAGUAACAAGAAGACCUGCUCUUCUCCCAGCACAAGUGUAAGCCAGAUCGGACUAACCGCUGGAACUUAACGAACCCAACCCAAGAGGGUAGUGUGAAUAGUACAGACCCCAAGAAGAACUCACAACUAAACAAUCGUUAACCCCACACUGGAGUGCUAUUAUAAAGGAAAGACUAAAAGAGGGGGAAGGAACUCGGCAAACACAAGCCUCGCCUGUUUACCAAAAACAUCGCCUCCUGCAACUAUAUUGAGUAUAGGAGGUCCAGCCUGCCCAGUGACUACGGGUUCAACGGCCGCGGUAUUUUGACCGUGCAAAGGUAGCGCAAUCACUUGUCUCUUAAAUAGAGACCUGUAUGAAUGGCUAGACGAGGGCUUAACUGUCUCCCCCCUCCAGUCAGUGAAAUUGAUCUAUCCGUGCAGAAGCGGGUAUAAUUAUACAAGACGAGAAGACCCUUUGGAGCUUAAGGUACAAAAUCCAACCACGUUAAACGACCCCCUAAAGGGCAAGAACUUAGUGGCCAAUGAAGUUUUACCUUCGGUUGGGGCGACCACGGAGGAGAAAAAAGCCUCCGAGUGGACUGGGUUAAAACCCAAAGCUAAGAGAUACAUCUCUAAGCCGCAGAACAUCUGACCAAAAGUGAUCCGGCUAAAAAGCCGAUCAACGAACCAAGUUACCCUAGGGAUAACAGCGCAAUCCUCUCCCAGAGUCCAUAUCGACGAGGGGGUUUACGACCUCGAUGUUGGAUCAGGACAUCCUAAUGGUGCAGCCGCUAUUAAGGGU